CAGCCUCCCACUGGCCAUCCCAAGACUCUUUUCCAGAGCCUGCUGCUAUGGAGUGUGGGCACCAUCUCUUGCAGAGAGGACAGACAGCCUGCUUGCUCCAGCCCACAUCACGUGCUUACUCCCUGGGAGCGAUGGGAGGAGGAGGGGAAGAGGCCAAUGAAACAGGGUCUGUGCUUCUCAUGUUGGGAAGAGAGCAUAUGAUUUGCUCUCCAACAUAGAUGACACAUAAUGGGAGAGGUAAUUUCCCAAAAGGAAGUCACUGAGCUGUUCAAAAGUGAUCUUAAUUAAGGGACUGUCAGCUGUAGUAACAGAUAAUCUGCCCAGUUCUCCUUAUUGGCUUAACAUGGGGAACAUUUAUUUCUCACUUACAUAAUAGUCCACUUUGGUUGGCUCUAAUUAAGAGGUUCAUUUUCAAGGACUCUGGAAUUCAAGUUCUUUCCAUUAAAGCUCUAUGUGUUAACACAGAACUUGCCAUACCCAUUCUGUGGGUCUCACAUCCCUAGGAGGUGUGUAAUGUUUCCCUUGGCCUUUUUAGAUGGAUGAAUGUAUUUCUGCUCACAUUCCAUUGGCUGGAACUCAGUCCCAGGGACUUGUCGAGGAGACUGGGAACUAUAACCUCCAACAGGACGAUUGUUUCUCACUAACACUACAAGCCAUGGAAGGAAGCAUGAACCUUUGGAGAUCAGUCUAGCUCUUCACUACAAAGGAGAGAAAGCUGGCAAUUGACAGAUCCCACCGGACUCAAUUUCCCUACUAUAAAAACGAAGAGGCUAGAGGAGAUGAUGUUGACAGCUCCUUCCAGCUUUGAAAUUCUCUUUGAUUCUGAGCCUACAGUAAACUGGAAGGUGAAGAUGAGACUAUCUCAAGAAGAUGAGUGUUGACUUCACACCCAAGAAUUCCCUGGGACAGCCAUGAGACCAUUAGGAAGGUGUCCUCUCAGAGUGGAGGAGCAUCCUUCUCGCUGCUUGCUGCUCAGGCUCGCUCGCUGUCCACUCAUCCUGGAGACCGUUCAUCUCAGCCUCAUAUCCACCAGAUGCUCUGUGGAGUUCUAGGACACCGACACUCUCAGUUGGAGGUGACCCUGAGAAGCCACAGAUCCAUUGGCAAUCUGAGGAAAGUAUGUUGAAAAAUCAGUUCCACCUUUCAGACAACCAAGUUGCUGUAUGUCCCCUUGUGGACUGACAUUGUCCUGGUUAUGGGAAUGCCUUCCUCUGCAAUGCCCCAUCACAUCGACAACUGCUUUCUGCAUUCUGAGGACAGUGUCUCAUCUUGUUAGAUGUGAGCUAACAGGGUCAAGCCUGCAACCAGAGAGACAGAAGCGAUCCUGUAGCAGUGGACAUCCCCAACACCCAGACCUCAUCUGCGCUGCUUUUCCCUCGGUGCCGUGGAUGGCUCCCACAAACUCUAGUUUGUCUCAGUCUCCAAGCUAAUAGAGUUAAACCAGCUGGUCAAUUUCAACAGGAGCAGAACCUGCGAGACGUUACUGUAUUCUGAGACAGUGCUAAUAAACUUUAAUAGAUUUCAGCUAACAAUUUGAUAUAAAUUAGACAUCGGGCUGCUGCUGAAGUAAUAACUUUUGGCACUAAAUAACAGGAAAUCAAGCGCCGUGAUGGGCUUCAAAACCACCUCCAUCGAGCCUCUGAGACACAGGCAGAUUUCACUAUUGAUUACCGCUUACUCUUCCCCAGGCUUUAAGAAAACAAUGA